rnacentral:rRNA from 1 species
AACGUAGGGUGCAAGCGUUAAUCGGAAUUACUGGGCGUAAAGUGUGCGCAGGCGGCAGAGCAAGUCGAGUGUGAAAGCCCCGAGCUUAACUUGGGAAUUGCGCUCGAAACUACUUUGCUGGAGUGUGGCAGAGGAAGGUGGAAUUCCAGGUGUAGCGGUGAAAUGCGUAGAGAUCUGGAGGAACACCGAUGGCGAAGGCAGCCUUCUGGGCCAACACUGACGCUCAUGCACGAAAGCGUGGGGAGCAAACAGG